rnacentral:rRNA from 1 species
GAGCAAUGCGGAGCUAUAAUGCAGUCGACGAUACUCUUUAGCUUGCUAGAGAGGAAAGUGGCGCACGGGUGCGUAACGCGUAUGCAACCUACCUUAAUCAGGGGGAUAGCCCGAAGAAAUUCGGAUUAACACCGCUUAAAAUCACAGUACACCAUUGUACAAUGAUCAAAUAUUUAUAGGAUUAAGAUGGGCAUGCGUGACAUUAGUUAGUUGGCGGGGGAACGGCCCACCAAGACCACCAUGUCUAGGGGAUCUGAGAGGAUGACCCCCCACACUGGGACUGACACACGGACCUCACUCCUACGGGAGGCAGCAGGAAGGAAUAUUGGUCAAUGGAGGCAACUCUGAACCAGCCAUGCCGCGUGCAGGAAGACAGCCCUCUGGGUCGUUCACUGCUUUUAUUCGAGAAUAAACCUAUCUACCUGUACAUAGCUGAAUGUACCGAAGGAAUAAGGAUCGGCUAACUCCGUGCCAGCCGCCGCGGUAAUACGGAGGAUCCAAGCGUUAUCCGGAUUUAUUGGGUUUAAAGGGUGCGUAGGCGGCUUUUUAAGUCAGGGGUGAAAGACGGUGGCUCAACCAUCGCAGUGCCCUUGAUACUGAAGAGCUUGAAUGAACUAGAGGUAGGCGGAAUGUGACAAGUAGCGGUGAAAAGCAUAGAUAUGUCACAGAACACCGAUUGCGAAGGCAGCUUACUAUGGUUAUAUUUACGCUGAGGCACAAAGGCGUGGGGAUCAAACAGGAUUAGAUACCCUGGUAGUCCACGCCCUAAACCAAAACGACGAAUGCUCGCUGUUAGCGAUACACAGUUAGCGGAUAAGCGAAAGCGUUAAGUAUUCCACCUGGGGAGUACGGUGGCAAGAUUGAAACUCAAAGGAAUUGCCGGGGGCCCGCACAAGCGGAGGAGCAUGUGGUUUAAUUCGAUGAUACGCGAGGACCCUUACCCGGGCUUGAAAGUUAGUGAAUCAUUUAGAGAUAGAUGAGUCCGCAAGGACACGAAAUUAGGUGUGGCAUGGCUGUGGUCAGCUCGUGCCGUGAGGUGUUGGGUUAAGUGCCGCAACGAGCCAACCCUUAUGUUUAGUUGCCAGCACGUAAUGUUGGGGACUCUAAACAGACUCCCUGUGCAAACAGAGAGGAAGGAGGGGAAAUCGUCAAGUCAUCAUGGCCCUUACGUCCGGGGCUACACCCGUGCUACAAUGGAUGGUACAGAGGGCAGCAAGCUGGUAACAGCAAGCAAAUCUCCAAAACCCAUUCACAGUUCGGAUAGAGGUCUCCAACUCGACCUCGGGAAGUUGGAUUCGCUAGUAAUCGUAUAUCAGCAAUGAUACGGUGAAUACGUUCCCGGGCCUUGUACACACCGCCCGUCAAGCCAUGGAAGUUGGGGGUACGUAAAGUAUGUAACCGCAAGGAGCUCCUAGGUAAUGCCAUCGUGG